rnacentral:rRNA from 1 species
GAUGAACGCUGGCGGCGUGCCUAAUACAUGCAAGUCGAGCGAACGGACGAGAAGCUUGCUUCUCUGAUGUUAGCGGCGGACGGGUGAGUAACACGUGGAUAACCUACCUAUAAGACUGGGAUAACUUCGGGAAACCGGAGCUAAUACCGGAUAAUAUUUUGAACCGCAUGGUUCAAAAGUGAAAGACGGUCUUGCUGUCACUUAUAGAUGGAUCCGCGCUGCAUUAGCUAGUUGGUAAGGUAACGGCUUACCAAGGCAACGAUGCAUAGCCGACCUGAGAGGGUGAUCGGCCACACUGGAACUGAGACACGGUCCAGACUCCUACGGGAGGCAGCAGUAGGGAAUCUUCCGCAAUGGGAGAAAGCCUGACGCAGCAACGCCGCGUGAGUGAUGAAGGUCUUCGGAUCGUAAAACUCUGUUAUUAGGGAAGAACAUAUGUGUAAGUAACUGUGCACAUCUUGACGGUACCUAAUCAGAAAGCCACGGCUAACUACGUG